AGCUGAUGCAGCGACGCCGCGUGGGGGAUGAGGCCUUCGGGUUGUAAACUCCUUUCGCUACCGACGAAGCCUCUUGGGGUGACGGUAGGUGGAGAAGAAGCACCGGCUAACUACGUGCCAGCAGCCGCGGUAAUACGUAGGGUGCGAGCGUUGUCCGGAUUUACUGGGCGUAAAGAGCUCGUAGGUGGUUUGUCGCGUCGUCUGUGAAAUUCCGGGGCUUAACUUCGGGCGUGCAGGCGAUACGGGCAUAACUUGAGUGCUGUAGGGGUAACUGGAAUUCCUGGUGUAGCGGUGGAAUGCGCAGAUAUCAGGAGGAACACCGAUGGCGAAGGCAGGUUACUGGGCAGUUACUGACGCUGAGGAGCGAAAGCAUGGGUAGCGAACA
rnacentral:rRNA from 1 species